CCCGGUCUUCCUGUGCUCGGGGCAGCGGGUCACUGCUCACCGGUGGACACUGCGGCUGGGUCUCUCCGGGCAGGGAGGACGCGGACUGGCCGGCACCGCCACCAGUCACAGACUCCGAGAGCAAGAGGCUCAGCCUGACCCGGAUGCGCCUCGCCGAGGACCGGAAGUGACGCAGCGCCGAGCUGGUCGCCGGGAGGGGCGGAGCUCUGGUUGCUAUGCUGUAGCGGCCUCCGGCUGGAGGACGCCAAGUACCGGCCCGGAGGGGAGAAAUGGGCUUGGUGGGCCCUUUGACCGCCUCGGUGGCCUUUCUCGGGAAACUUCCACCCGCCCCUAAUGCUGAAAAGAGAAAUGGAAUAAAAAUCUAAAUGAUGAAGACAAAGACCUGAGAGGACAAUGUUCAAGGGAUAUCCUUCCAGAGAGCAGAAUUAAGGUUGAAUCAAGAGGAAUAUUUAUUGUGAUUAUUAUGUCCCUUCUCCACUGUUGUUUAUUAUAAGAGAGUGGAGAGGCCACUUCUAGACUAGGAAGAACCACUUCUAGACUAGGAAGAAGACCCAACCACACCUGGAGACUCUGGAGAUUCAACUGAAAGCAAUGACUGGAUAGGAGCCUACUUGCAUCUAUAGAAUUCUCUGGAAAA